rnacentral:rRNA from 1 species
AUUGAACGCUGGCGGCAUGCCUUACACAUGCAAGUCGAACGGCAGCAUGAUCUAGCUUGCUAGAUUGAUGGCGAGUGGCGAACGGGUGAGUAAUACAUCGGAACGUGCCCUGUAGUGGGGGAUAACUAGUCGAAAGAUUAGCUAAUACCGCAUACGACCUGAGGGUGAAAGUGGGGGACCGCAAGGCCUCAUGCUAUAGGAGCGGCCGAUGUCUGAUUAGCUAGUUGGUGAGGUAAAGGCUCACCAAGGCGACGAUCAGUAGCUGGUCUGGGAGGACGAUCAGCCACACUGGGACUGAGACACGGCCCAGACUCCUACGGGAGGCAGCAGUGGGGAAUUUUGGACAAUGGGGGCAACCCUGAUCCAGCAAUGCCGCGUGUGUGAAGAAGGCCUUCGGGUUGUAAAGCACUUUUGUCCGGAAAGAAAUCGCACUUACUAAUAUUAGGUGUGGAUGACGGUACCGGAAGAAUAAGGACCGGCUAACUACGUGCCAGCAGCCGCAGUAACAC